rnacentral:rRNA from 1 species
UUGACCUCGGAUCAGGUAGGAAUACCCGCUGAACUUAAGCAUAUCAAUAAGCGGAGGAAAAAA